GUUGUUCGGAUUCACUGGGCGUAAAGGGUGCGUAGGUGGCGAGGUAAGUUUGAUGUGAAAUCUCCGGGCUUAACCCGGAAAGGUCAACUGAUACUGUGCGACUAGAGUGCGGAAGGGGCAACUGGAAUUCUCGGUGUAGCGGUGAAAUGCGUAGAUAUCGAGAGGAACACCUGCGGCGAAGGCGGGUUGCUGGGCCGACACUGACGCUGAUGCGCGAAAGCCAGGGGAGCGAACGGG
rnacentral:rRNA from 1 species